GAUGAACGCUAGCGACAGGCUUAACACAUGCAAGUCGAGGGGCAGCGGGGGUGCAGGCUUGCCUGCACCUGCCGGCGACCGGCGCACGGGUGAGUAACACGUAUGGAACCUGCCCGCCACAGGGGGAUAACCCGGGGAAACCCGGCCUAAUACCCCAUGCCGCCCGGACCGGGCAUCCGGUCCGGGCGAAAGGAGGAAUCCGGUGGCGGCUGGGCAUGCGGCGCAUUAGCUUGACGGCGGGGUAACGGCCCACCGUGGCGACGAUGCGUAGGGGUUCUGAGAGGAAGGCCCCCCACACUGGUACUGAGACACGGACCAG
rnacentral:rRNA from 1 species